rfam:Triticum urartu cultivar G1812 contig1106198, whole genome shotgun sequence.
CUGUUACUCCCUCCGUCCGAAAAAGCUUGUCCCAAGCUUGUUUCUCAAAUGAAUGUAUCUAGCACUGACUUGAUAGUAGAUACAUCCAUUUGAGAGACAAGCUUUUCCGGAUGGAGGGAGUACUUC